GCACUGCCCGCGAGCGCUGGGGCUGCAGUGCCUGUGCGGGCCAGUAGGGGGCGGACCGCCCGUCCUGCCCUCUGGCGUCACGCCCGCGGCGCCCUGCAGUGAGACGACGCGGCACCGCCUCCCUUAGCGCAGCCGCGCAUGCGCCAGCUCGCUGGGGACUGCCGUCGAGGGCGAGUGGGGCUUUCCUGUGCACACACCUGAGGCCCCGAGGUUGGAUAUGUCAAGUGGCCAGAUAACUGCCAAUCUUGCAAGCAGUUAUUAAUGAUGUCUGUAGGCACAGACCACUGAGUUUGGGUCCCUUUGUGGUACGUGCUUUUCUUCGUAGUUCAACAAGUGAAGGUUUGUUACUAAAGAUUGAUCCAUUGUUGCCUAAAGAAGUAAAAACCGAAGAAAGUAGCAAAGAAGCUGCCUAAAUGUGUUGAAUUGUGAAAUUAUUUUUUAGUGGAUUAGGAAGCAACAGAGAAAAUUAUAAAACUGCAUAAUUUCUACAUUUGGUGUCUUAUUGUCUUGUUAUUUCUUGACCAUCAUACUUGAAAGUGAAUUUCAACACUGAAAAAUCUUACACAAUUUCACGAAUAAGAAAAUAAAAUUUUCCCUAUGUCUGAACCUGC